UUCAGAGCUGGAGGCUGCUCUGAGUACUAUGGAGAAACCUGUCCUGUGAGUUGUAUGAAUUGAAUCUGCAAGUUCUGUACAUUUUCUUCAGCCAAUCAACACAGCAUUAUUAGGCAUUACAAGCUAAAACACGGACACUAUGCCCCUUACCUUGUAUCUAAAAUGACUGUUUGUGCUUUUUUAAGACACAAGUUGCUCUUAAAAAUAAUUUGUUGAAACAUGAAUCAGUGGUUUAUCCAUCUCAGCCAGCUGUUGUUGUCCAUGAAUCUCAGUCCAAUGUAGUAACUCAUUGGCUACAAUGUGAAUUAUGUGAUUUUUCUGAGUCACGUACUCUUAAGCAAUACUUUGCUCAUUUGAGAGCUCAUUUGAAGAGUAAGGAAACCGUUAACUGUCUUUUUAGCUGUGUGAAUUUAAGUCUGGUGUGCAUUCCAUCUUUACUGGGCACAAAAGUAGAUAUCACUUUGAUUCUGGGUUAAACAAAAUAAGACCUGAACUAAUUUGUUCAGUCCAGCAGAAACCAGUGAGGAACAAAUAGGAGAUGUGGUUUCUGUAGAUUAUGAUAACCCUCCAAACGUUGACGAUGACAAUGAAGAUUAUGGAGGAUCAAUUAGGCAUAGACGUGCAUCCUUAUUCCUACGAAUGCAAACAAUUUUGCAUGUGUCUAAAUCAGCUACACAGGAAAUAGUUAAUGAAAUGUAUGAGAUAGGUGUUUUAGCAGGAGAGUUUACUAAUACAUCAAUUGAAAAAGUGCUAAGGGAACAUAAUUGCAACACUGACUGACAAGGGAUCAUUGUUUUUCAGAAAUUAUUUUCCUGUAAUUGAGCCUGUAGAAUAUAUUUUAGACAAUACAACCAAGAAGACAUUAGUAUAUGUCCCCAUUCUAAGUGUUUUAACAGAGUUACUCAAUAGAAACGAUAUUCUAGACAAAGUGGUAACUGAAGAAUCUCUUAUGUCAGAGUCUGGUCAUUUUAAAACUUUUUGUGACGGCUUAUUUUUUAAAGGAAAUCCGCUGCUCUCCAGUGAGGAGCUGUCAAUUGUUAUUGGACUGUACACAGAUGACUUUGAAAUAUGCAAUCCUUUAAGUACUUCUAGAAAAAAUAUAAGGUGUGUGCUGUGUAUUGGGUUGAUUUGCCUAUCAAAUAUCGAUCAUCUCUACAAUCUAUAUACCUUGCAGUGCUGUGUAACAGUAAUGAUAUAAAAAAAUUUGGCUAUGAGAAAAUUCUUGAUCCACUUAUAAAAGACAUACAGAUAUUGAGAACCAAGGUCUGUUCAUCCAGAGGUUAGGAGCAAGCGUCAAAGGAACAGUGCUUUUUGUCUCUGCUGAUAACUUAGCUGCUCAUUCACUUGCUGGCUUUCAGGAAUCAUUCACUGUUGAUACAUUUUGCAGAUUUUGCGUAGCCAGCCGUAGCGAUAUUAAGACAACUGAAGUAAGGGGUGGGUUAUUUCCGCUUUGGACAAAAUUGACUCGUGAGGCAAAUGUUUUGGAGGUUAAACAAAAUCAACAUGUACAGAAUGUAAAUGGUGUUAAAAGGGAUUCUGUUUUGAACAAGUUGAGUUACUUCCAUACAGUUACAGGGUUCCCACCUGACUUCCUGCAUGACCUCUUGGAGGGAAUUGUGACUGUUGAACUUAGCUUGUGUCUAAACAAGUUGUUCUCAAAUAAGUACUUCACGUUGGAUGAAUUAAAUUCUGCUAUUCAGAAUUUCCUAUACUUAUUCUCUGAUAAGACUAACUACCCCAACAGAAUACCCACUAGUUUCAGAAUCAGUGGCUCAAUUGGUGGAAACGGACAUGAGAACUGGACUUUAAGACUGCUUCCAUUGAUCAUUGGAGAACUAAUUCCAGAAAAUGACAAAACAUGGGGUGUUCUUCUUGAAUCGAAAGACUUAGAACUCUUGGCAUCACCCUCUUUCACAAAUCAAUCACUAUGCAAUUUGGAAGAUAAAAUCUCAGUUCAUAGGCAAUUGCUCCAGGAGGCCUUUCCUGACUAUAAACUUAGGGCAAAACCCCAUUUCAUAGAACACUAUCCCUACCUCAUCAGUUGCUUUGGACCUUUGCUGGACUGUUGGACAAUUCGCUUUGAAGCAAAGCACAAUUUUAUUUAUUUUUUUAAAUUGUGCGUGAUGUGAACAAUUUUAAAAACAUUUUGCUAACAUUAGCCAUAAGACACCAGUAUAUGUUAGCAUACUUCCUUGACAUGCCCAGCCUUUUUAACCCACCAGUGGAGGUUGGUAGUGUAUCUCUGGUUUCUCUGGACAUUUUGGAUCACUCUGUCAAACAGGCUAUUAGACUUAAAUACAAGGAUGUGAAGACUGUCUCUUGCAACUAGUGUCAUUCUGCAUGGUACUAAAUACUCUGAGGGGAUGUUUGUUUCUAUUGGGAGCACAAGUGGACUGCCAGAUUUUGGUAAAAUUCUCAAAGUACUGAUUGUGGGCAACAAGGCAUCAUUCAUCAUUGAAUGCUUUUCAGCCUGGUACUUGGAGCACUUCAGAUGCUAUGAAUUGACUAGGAAAAUUUUCACAGACCUUGAAGUUUCAGACCCAGAAGAACUGAACACGUUCUACCCACUGGCCCCUUACAUUGUGCGAGGAAGACUAAUGAUCUCACCCAAGGUGUUUUUACUUCACUGAGAGCUGGAGGCUGCUCUGAGUACUAUGGAGAAACCUGUCCUGUGAGUUGUAUGAAUUGAAUCUGCAAGUUCUGUACAUUUUCUUCAGCCAAUCAACACAGCAUUAUUAGGCAUUACAAGCUAAAACACGGACACUAUGCCCCUUACCUUGUAUCUAAAAUGACUGUUUGUGCUUUUUUAAGACACAAGUUGCUCUUAAAAAUAAUUUGUUGAAACAUGAAUCAGUGGUUUAUCCAUCUCAGCCAGCUGUUGUUGUCCAUGAAUCUCAGUCCAAUGUAGUAACUCAUUGGCUACAAUGUGAAUUAUGUGAUUUUUCUGAGUCACGUACUCUUAAGCAAUACUUUGCUCAUUUGAGAGCUCAUUUGAAGAGUAAGGAAACCGUUAACUGUCUUUUUAGCUGUGUGAAUUUAAGUCUGGUGUGCAUUCCAUCUUUACUGGGCACAAAAGUAGAUAUCACUUUGAUUCUGGGUUAAACAAAAUAAGACCUGAACUAAUUUGUUCAGUCCAGCAGAAACCAGUGAGGAACAAAUAGGAGAUGUGGUUUCUGUAGAUUAUGAUAACCCUCCAAACGUUGACGAUGACAAUGAAGAUUAUGGAGGAUCAAUUAGGCAUAGACGUGCAUCCUUAUUCCUACGAAUGCAAACAAUUUUGCAUGUGUCUAAAUCAGCUACACAGGAAAUAGUUAAUGAAAUGUAUGAGAUAGGUGUUUUAGCAGGAGAGUUUACUAAUACAUCAAUUGAAAAAGUGCUAAGGGAACAUAAUUGCAACACUGACUGACAAGGGAUCAUUGUUUUUCAGAAAUUAUUUUCCUGUAAUUGAGCCUGUAGAAUAUAUUUUAGACAAUACAACCAAGAAGACAUUAGUAUAUGUCCCCAUUCUAAGUGUUUUAACAGAGUUACUCAAUAGAAACGAUAUUCUAGACAAAGUGGUAACUGAAGAAUCUCUUAUGUCAGAGUCUGGUCAUUUUAAAACUUUUUGUGACGGCUUAUUUUUUAAAGGAAAUCCGCUGCUCUCCAGUGAGGAGCUGUCAAUUGUUAUUGGACUGUACACAGAUGACUUUGAAAUAUGCAAUCCUUUAAGUACUUCUAGAAAAAAUAUAAGGUGUGUGCUGUGUAUUGGGUUGAUUUGCCUAUCAAAUAUCGAUCAUCUCUACAAUCUAUAUACCUUGCAGUGCUGUGUAACAGUAAUGAUAUAAAAAAAUUUGGCUAUGAGAAAAUUCUUGAUCCACUUAUAAAAGACAUACAGAUAUUGAGAACCAAGGUCUGUUCAUCCAGAGGUUAGGAGCAAGCGUCAAAGGAACAGUGCUUUUUGUCUCUGCUGAUAACUUAGCUGCUCAUUCACUUGCUGGCUUUCAGGAAUCAUUCACUGUUGAUACAUUUUGCAGAUUUUGCGUAGCCAGCCGUAGCGAUAUUAAGACAACUGAAGUAAGGGGUGGGUUAUUUCCGCUUUGGACAAAAUUGACUCGUGAGGCAAAUGUUUUGGAGGUUAAACAAAAUCAACAUGUACAGAAUGUAAAUGGUGUUAAAAGGGAUUCUGUUUUGAACAAGUUGAGUUACUUCCAUACAGUUACAGGGUUCCCACCUGACUUCCUGCAUGACCUCUUGGAGGGAAUUGUGACUGUUGAACUUAGCUUGUGUCUAAACAAGUUGUUCUCAAAUAAGUACUUCACGUUGGAUGAAUUAAAUUCUGCUAUUCAGAAUUUCCUAUACUUAUUCUCUGAUAAGACUAACUACCCCAACAGAAUACCCACUAGUUUCAGAAUCAGUGGCUCAAUUGGUGGAAACGGACAUGAGAACUGGACUUUAAGACUGCUUCCAUUGAUCAUUGGAGAACUAAUUCCAGAAAAUGACAAAACAUGGGGUGUUCUUCUUGAAUCGAAAGACUUAGAACUCUUGGCAUCACCCUCUUUCACAAAUCAAUCACUAUGCAAUUUGGAAGAUAAAAUCUCAGUUCAUAGGCAAUUGCUCCAGGAGGCCUUUCCUGACUAUAAACUUAGGGCAAAACCCCAUUUCAUAGAACACUAUCCCUACCUCAUCAGUUGCUUUGGACCUUUGCUGGACUGUUGGACAAUUCGCUUUGAAGCAAAGCACAAUUUUAUUUAUUUUUUUAAAUUGUGCGUGAUGUGAACAAUUUUAAAAACAUUUUGCUAACAUUAGCCAUAAGACACCAGUAUAUGUUAGCAUACUUCCUUGACAUGCCCAGCCUUUUUAACCCACCAGUGGAGGUUGGUAGUGUAUCUCUGGUUUCUCUGGACAUUUUGGAUCACUCUGUCAAACAGGCUAUUAGACUUAAAUACAAGGAUGUGAAGACUGUCUCUUGCAACUAGUGUCAUUCUGCAUGGUACUAAAUACUCUGAGGGGAUGUUUGUUUCUAUUGGGAGCACAAGUGGACUGCCAGAUUUUGGUAAAAUUCUCAAAGUACUGAUUGUGGGCAACAAGGCAUCAUUCAUCAUUGAAUGCUUUUCAGCCUGGUACUUGGAGCACUUCAGAUGCUAUGAAUUGACUAGGAAAAUUUUCACAGACCUUGAAGUUUCAGACCCAGAAGAACUGAACACGUUCUACCCACUGGCCCCUUACAUUGUGCGAGGAAGACUAAUGAUCUCACCCAAGGUGUUUUUACUUCACUGAGAGCUGGAGGCUGCUCUGAGUACUAUGGAGAAACCUGUCCUGUGAGUUGUAUGAAUUGAAUCUGCAAGUUCUGUACAUUUUCUUCAGCCAAUCAACACAGCAUUAUUAGGCAUUACAAGCUAAAACACGGACACUAUGCCCCUUACCUUGUAUCUAAAAUGACUGUUUGUGCUUUUUUAAGACACAAGUUGCUCUUAAAAAUAAUUUGUUGAAACAUGAAUCAGUGGUUUAUCCAUCUCAGCCAGCUGUUGUUGUCCAUGAAUCUCAGUCCAAUGUAGUAACUCAUUGGCUACAAUGUGAAUUAUGUGAUUUUUCUGAGUCACGUACUCUUAAGCAAUACUUUGCUCAUUUGAGAGCUCAUUUGAAGAGUAAGGAAACCGUUAACUGUCUUUUUAGCUGUGUGAAUUUAAGUCUGGUGUGCAUUCCAUCUUUACUGGGCACAAAAGUAGAUAUCACUUUGAUUCUGGGUUAAACAAAAUAAGACCUGAACUAAUUUGUUCAGUCCAGCAGAAACCAGUGAGGAACAAAUAGGAGAUGUGGUUUCUGUAGAUUAUGAUAACCCUCCAAACGUUGACGAUGACAAUGAAGAUUAUGGAGGAUCAAUUAGGCAUAGACGUGCAUCCUUAUUCCUACGAAUGCAAACAAUUUUGCAUGUGUCUAAAUCAGCUACACAGGAAAUAGUUAAUGAAAUGUAUGAGAUAGGUGUUUUAGCAGGAGAGUUUACUAAUACAUCAAUUGAAAAAGUGCUAAGGGAACAUAAUUGCAACACUGACUGACAAGGGAUCAUUGUUUUUCAGAAAUUAUUUUCCUGUAAUUGAGCCUGUAGAAUAUAUUUUAGACAAUACAACCAAGAAGACAUUAGUAUAUGUCCCCAUUCUAAGUGUUUUAACAGAGUUACUCAAUAGAAACGAUAUUCUAGACAAAGUGGUAACUGAAGAAUCUCUUAUGUCAGAGUCUGGUCAUUUUAAAACUUUUUGUGACGGCUUAUUUUUUAAAGGAAAUCCGCUGCUCUCCAGUGAGGAGCUGUCAAUUGUUAUUGGACUGUACACAGAUGACUUUGAAAUAUGCAAUCCUUUAAGUACUUCUAGAAAAAAUAUAAGGUGUGUGCUGUGUAUUGGGUUGAUUUGCCUAUCAAAUAUCGAUCAUCUCUACAAUCUAUAUACCUUGCAGUGCUGUGUAACAGUAAUGAUAUAAAAAAAUUUGGCUAUGAGAAAAUUCUCGAUCCACUUAUAAAAGACAUACAGAUAUUGAGAACCAAGGUCUGUUCAUCCAGAGGUUAGGAGCAAGCGUCAAAGGAACAGUGCUUUUUGUCUCUGCUGAUAACUUAGCUGCUCAUUCACUUGCUGGCUUUCAGGAAUCAUUCACUGUUGAUACAUUUUGCAGAUUUUGCGUAGCCAGCCGUAGCGAUAUUAAGACAACUGAAGUAAGGGGUGGGUUAUUUCCGCUUUGGACAAAAUUGACUCGUGAGGCAAAUGUUUUGGAGGUUAAACAAAAUCAACAUGUACAGAAUGUAAAUGGUGUUAAAAGGGAUUCUGUUUUGAACAAGUUGAGUUACUUCCAUACAGUUACAGGGUUCCCACCUGACUUCCUGCAUGACCUCUUGGAGGGAAUUGUGACUGUUGAACUUAGCUUGUGUCUAAACAAGUUGUUCUCAAAUAAGUACUUCACGUUGGAUGAAUUAAAUUCUGCUAUUCAGAAUUUCCUAUACUUAUUCUCUGAUAAGACUAACUACCCCAACAGAAUACCCACUAGUUUCAGAAUCAGUGGCUCAAUUGGUGGAAACGGACAUGAGAACUGGACUUUAAGACUGCUUCCAUUGAUCAUUGGAGAACUAAUUCCAGAAAAUGACAAAACAUGGGGUGUUCUUCUUGAAUCUAAAGACUUAGAACUCUUGGCAUCACCCUCUUUCACAAAUCAAUCACUAUGCAAUUUGGAAGAUAAAAUCUCAGUUCAUAGGCAAUUGCUCCAGGAGGCCUUUCCUGACUAUAAACUUAGGGCAAAACCCCAUUUCAUAGAACACUAUCCCUACCUCAUCAGUUGCUUUGGACCUUUGCUGGACUGUUGGACAAUUCGCUUUGAAGCAAAGCACAAUUUUAUUUAUUUUUUUAAAUUGUGCGUGAUGUGAACAAUUUUAAAAACAUUUUGCUAACAUUAGCCAUAAGACACCAGUAUAUGUUAGCAUACUUCCUUGACAUGCCCAGCCUUUUUAACCCACCAGUGGAGGUUGGUAGUGUAUCUCUGGUUUCUCUGGACAUUUUGGAUCACUCUGUCAAACAGGCUAUUAGACUUAAAUACAAGGAUGUGAAGACUGUCUCUUGCAACUAGUGUCAUUCUACAUGGUACUAAAUACUCUGAGGGGAUGUUUGUUUCUAUUGGGAGCACAAGUGGACUGCCAGAUUUUGGUAAAAUUCUCAAAGUACUGAUUGUGGGCAACAAGGCAUCAUUCAUCAUUGAAUGCUUUUCAGCCUGGUACUUGGAGCACUUCAGAUGCUAUGAAUUGACUAGGAAAAUUUUCACAGACCUUGAAGUUUCAGACCCAGAAGAACUGAACACGUUCUACCCACUGGCCCCUUACAUUGUGCGAGGAAGACUAAUGAUCUCACCCAAGGUGUUUUUACUUCACUGAGUACUCCGUUAAGUUUCCAGCAUGUUGCUUCAUGUCAUUCUUGCGGAUGAUGACAUCCGGAGGGUCCAGAUUGAAAGUGUUCCAGAGAUGGUAGACGAAUUGGAGACUACACUCGAGCAAGCUUAUUUUAGAGGGUGAAUCCAGUUUCAAGAUCCAGAUUUCAACAAUGAGCUCUGCAACUUGACUGACAUGUCUAAGCUACCCACAGAGAGACCAAGGCUGAAGAUAAUACUAAAGGCACUACCCAAUGCGCCCCCCUCUGUAUCCUCAUUGGACACUGGUUGUUCUGACACAGCCAAUAGAUCCUUAGCAUCCUCUGUAUGUUCUCUAUCAACCCAUCGUUCCAAGCACUGGCCUGACCAUUUUAUCAUACCCACUUUCUCUUAUGAUGUUGAACUUAAGCUUAGAAAAGGAAAUGAGACUUAUGGAGAAGAUGGUUCCCUACUUACUGUUACUGCUGCUAUGAAGAGAGACAUACUUGACAGAGUAGGAAAUGCUAUGUAUGAGUACAAUGCAUAUCCAACAUCAAAACAAAUUGAGGAUGUUGCUAAAGCCCUUGUUGAAAAGCAUCCCUGUUUGAGAGAGCCAGGUUCUUCAUAUGGAUGGUUCUGCUGGAAGUUCAGCCUCACUUUUAAGAUGGAUAACCUUCGUCAGAAGUACCGUAUUGCUGGAUGCCCAGAGCUUACAAUCAAUCAAAAGAGAUCAACAGACCAAUCAACUGGGAACAAGAAACUGAAGAAAGCAAAACGGUCCGAGGUCAACUUUUUGCCAGAUUUUCUUGAAAGGAAGUCUCCAGACUGCCUUGAAAGUGAGAGAAUGGCUCUGAUGGAUGAGAUGGAGAAAAGGAAGAGAGACAGGAAAAUUAUAGAUGCUCUGAUGGAAAGCACCUUUGCCUUGCGAAGGAAGGAGAUUGUUGAUGGUGAGACUCCUGUGUCUGUAAUUGAAGACAGAUGGCCAGCCCUGUUCUCAGAAAACCUGACUCAAAGUAUGUCCCAAGACUGCUACAAAUGUACAGAGUGUGAACUAGUAGCAGUUCUGACCUGCACAGUCUACUUCAGCCCCUGAUGUACAAACUUCAAACGAGAAGAGAAGAGCAGCUGCUUUGCUUGGACUUCCAUAUUACCUGAAGGAGGAUCCCAACAGUUUCAUCUGUGUCUGUGAGACUGCCAGUUCGGCAGAGGAGGCUACAAAAGGAGUGGAUUUUGGCCUUCUCAUUGUUGCAGAGGAAGGUGAAAGCAAGCAAGAGUUACUGGAGAAUGAGAUUGUCGAUGUUGCUGUUGUACUGGAGGGGCACAUCAUUCUGCAUGACCUAAGAGAUGUUGCUAAUGCCUUUGCAACACUGAGGGGUCUUCUUUACUGCCUUAACAUAGACUAUCCCAAGGGACUGAAGUACACAUCUGAGGUAACUCAAAAAGUUUUCAUGGGCAUCGGCAGUGGCAAUUGUUCUGCAAAAGUUAAUGGACUCCGAAACAAGAUGCUUCAAUAGUGACAAGUUGGCCAAGUUAAUGGCAGCUAUUACUUUUUCAGUUGUUUCACAGAAAAAAGUAUAAUGCAGAUGUUCUAAAAAAGUUGUUAUAUAGAAUAUCAUAAUGUGUUCAGUUAAGAGAAUAUCUGUUACUUAAAAGUUUGUGCAAUUUAACUAAAGCACUUCAAGUUAAGCUGUAAAAUUAUAUAUUUCACAAUUCCUGUUUUUUGACAGUUCUUGUAUGGUAGUACUACAGCUGUCUAGAGAAACAUGUUAAUAUCUGAAAUUUGUCAAAAUAUUCAGCUAUUCCUCAUGGUAGUGUUUUAAUACUGAGUAGAUUCAUACCAAAGAGGCCACUGUCAGUUUUGAAAUGGAAUAAAAUAGCAUUCUGAAUGUCGAUGAAUCAUUUUUGUGUAGUACUGUUAGAAAACAGAAACUUAUGUGAGCAAAUUAUGCAGUUAAAUGUUUUGAAUGAACUUGACAUUGCUAGUAAGAUUAACUAUUCUUGAAAAAGUAACCUUGCUGCCUUAAAAAGAUAAGUUAAUUCAACAAGAUGCUUAGU